rnacentral:rRNA from 1 species
UGGGGAAUUUUGGACAAUGGGCGCAAGCCUGAUCCAGCCAUGCCGCGUGUGGGAAGAAGGCCUUCGGGUUGUAAAGCACUUUAAGUUGGGAGGAAGGGCAGUUACCUAAUACGUGAUUGUUUUGACGUUACCGACAGAAUAAGCACCGGCUAACUCUGUGCCAGCAGCCGCGGUAAUACAGAGGGUGCAAGCGUUAAUCGGAAUUACUGGGCGUAAAGCGCGCGUAGGUGGUUAGUUAAGUUGGAUGUGAAAUCCCCGGGCUCAACCUGGGAACUGCAUUCAAAACUGACUGACUAGAGUAUGGUAGAGGGUGGUGGAAUUUCCUGUGUAGCGGUGAAAUGCGUAGAUAUAGGAAGGAACACCAGUGGCGAAGGCGACCACCUGGACUGAUACUGACACUGAGGUGCGAAAGCGUGGGGAGCAAACAGGAUUAGAUACCCAGGUAGUCCCUGAGCGGGCUGGCAAGGCGCAU